rnacentral:tRNA from 2 species
GGGGAGGUGUCCGAGUUGGCUUAAGGAGCACGAUUGGAAAUCGUGUGGGUGUCAAAGCCUCGAGGGUUCGAAUCCCUCUCUCCCCG